ACACCGACUGCGCCGAACUCCAUCCGUUGGUGCGCGGGGACAACGAGAGACAACUCGGAUGGAGGCGGGGGACCCACCGGUCCACCGACAUACAGGACCAGGAACCUUUCGCGGUUCCUUGGGGUGAAGCCGUCGCCUUUCGACGACGCCGGCCGGGCGACCUCUCCAGCCCGAACCCGACAGCUGACCUCGUGGGCGCUUAAGAGAGGACCA
rnacentral:sRNA from 2 species